rnacentral:rRNA from 1 species
AGAGUUUGAUCAUGGCUCAGAGUGAACGCUGGCGGUAGGCCUAACACAUGCAAGUCGAACGGCAGCACAGAGGAGCUUGCUCCUUGGGUGGCGAGUGGCGGACGGGUGAGGAAUACAUCGGAAUCUACUCUGUCGUGGGGGAUAACGUAGGGAAACUUACGCUAAUACCGCAUACGACCUACGGGUGAAAGCAGGGGAUCUUCGGACCUUGCGCGAUUGAAUGAGCCGAUGUCGGAUUAGCUAGUUGGCGGGGUAAAGGCCCACCAAGGCGACGAUCCGUAGCUGGUCUGAGAGGAUGAUCAGCCACACUGGAACUGAGACACGGUCCAGACUCCUACGGGAGGCAGCAGUGGGGAAUAUUGGACAAUGGGCGCAAGCCUGAUCCAGCCAUACCGCGUGGGUGAAGAAGGCCUUCGGGUUGUAAAGCCCUUUUGUUGGGAAAGAAAUCCAGCCGGCUAAUACCUGGUUGGGAUGACGGUACCCAAAGAAUAAGCGCCGGCUAACUUCGUGCCAGCAGCCGCGGUAAUACGAAGGGUGCAAGCGUUACUCGGAAUUACUGGGCGUAAAGCGUGCGUAGGUGGUUAUUUAAGUCCGUUGUGAAAGCCCUGGGCUCAACCUGGGAACUGCAGUGGAUACUGGAUGACUAGAAUGUGGUAGAGGGUAGCGGAAUUCCUGGUGUAGCAGUGAAAUGCGUAGAGAUCAUGAGGAACAUCCAUGGCGAAGGCAGCUACCUGGACCAACAUUGACACUGAGGCACGAAAGCGUGGGGAGCAAACAGGAUUAGAUACCCCUG